rnacentral:rRNA from 1 species
GGGGAAUUUUGGACAAUGGGCGCAAGCCUGAUCCAGCCAUGCCGCGUGUCUGAAGAAGGCCUUCGGGUUGUAAAGGACUUUUGUCAGGGAAGAAAAGGCUGCUGCUAAUACCGACAGCUGAUGACGGUACCUGAAGAAUAAGCACCGGCUAACUACGUGCCAGCAGCCGCGGUAAUACGUAGGGUGCGAGCGUUAAUCGGAAUUACUGGGCGUAAAGCGAGCGCAGACGGUUACUUAAGCAGGAUGUGAAAUCCCCGGGCUCAACCUGGGAACUGCGUUCUGAACUGGGUGACUAGAGUGUGUCAGAGGGAGGUAGAAUUCCACGUGUAGCAGUGAAAUGCGUAGAGAUGUGGAGGAAUACCGAUGGCGAAGGCAGCCUCCUGGGAUAACACUGACGUUCAUGCUCGAAAGCGUGGGUAGCAAACAGGAUUAGAUACCCUGGUAGUCCACGCCCUAAACGAUGUCAAUUAGCUGUUGGGCAACUUGAUUGCUUAGUAGCGUAGCUAACGCGUGAAAUUGACCGCCUGGGGAGUACGGUCGCAAGAUUA